UACGUAGGGGGCGAGCGUUAUCCGGAUUUACUGGGCGUAAAGCGCAUUAAGGCGGCCGGCAAAGUUGGUGGUGAAAUUUCAGGGCUCAACCCUGAAACUGCCUCCAAUAUUGGUUGGCUAGAGUGUGAGAGAGGAAGGUGGAAUUCCCGGUGUAGUAGUGAAAUGCGUAGAUAUCGGGAGGAACACCAGUGGCGAAGGCGGCCUUCUGGCUCAUAACUGACGCUGUAGUGCGAAAGCGUGGGGAGCGAACGGG
rnacentral:rRNA from 1 species